AAAUUGAAGAGUUUGAUCAUGGCUCAGAUUGAACGCUGGCGGCAGGCCUAACACAUGCAAGUCGAACGGUAACAGGAAGCAGCUUGCUGCUUUGCUGACGAGUGGCGGACGGGUGAGUAAUGUCUGGGAAACUGCCUGAUGGAGGGGGAUAACUACUGGAAACGGUGGCUAAUACCGCAUAACGUCGCAAGACCAAAGAGGGGGACCUUCGGGCCUCUUGCCAUCAGAUGUGCCCAGAUGGGAUUAGCUUGUUGGUGAGGUAACGGCUCACCAAGGCGACGAUCCCUAGCUGGUCUGAGAGGAUGACCAGCCACACUGGAACUGAGACACGGUCCAGACUCCUACGGGAGGCAGCAGUGGGGAAUAUUGCACAAUGGGCGCAAGCCUGAUGCAGCCAUGCCACGUGUAUGAAGAAGGCCUUCGGGUUGUAAAGUACUUUCAGCGGGGAGGAAGGUGUUGCGGUUAAUAACCGCAGCAAUUGACGUUACCCGCAGAAGAAG
rnacentral:rRNA from 1 species